rnacentral:rRNA from 1 species
CACGUAGGGUGCGAGCGUUGUCCGGAAUUACUGGGCGUAAAGGGCUCGUAGGCGGCCAACUAAGUCCGACGUGAAAUCCCCAAGCUUAACUUGGGAACUGCGUCGGAUACUGGAUGGCUUGAAUUCGGGAGAGGGAUGCAGAAUUCCAGGUGUAGCGGUGAAAUGCGUAGAUAUCUGGAGGAAUACCGGUGGCGAAGGCGGCAUCCUGGACCGACAUUGACGCUGAGGAGCGAAAGCUAGGGGAGCAAACGGG